UUUGUGUGGCUUGUAGUUGAGGGGACGAGACAAGCUUGCCUGGAGAUCAAACACUGGCUUCUUACUGGAGCCUGGAGUCUGUGCUGCUUCAGCUGACCACUGGAAUGGGGUUUUGCUUUGACUGUAAAACAUGUGGAAGUUCCAAGUGUGGCUAUGGUGAACUGUGGUCCUCCAAAGGGUCAAGGUCUGACCUAUUAGACUGUGCUGGCUCCAUCUCCCAAUGUUGGGCUUAUAAGUAUGAGCCUUUACAUCAUCUAUUACAUCUUAAAUCAUCACCAGUGGGCUUUCAAGGCUCUUAACAACUUGUCUGCCUGUAAGAAAGAACAGCUCAUCAUUACAGUCAAAGUAAAAAAAAGCAAGAAAUCUAUGCCAAACACCUUUUUUCUUCUGUUUAUUGACUGUACUCUGGUCAGGCUGGCAGACUAUAAAAAUUGCCUGGAUAGAACUAGAUUUCACACCCCAGGGGCAAUAUCAGGUAAAGAAAAAGACAUACAGUGCAGUACAAUGGGGUAAGGAUGUGAGGAAGCUUUGGAUAUUGUGGGCUUGGCAGAUCCAAUGUCAGCAGGUGAUGGGAUGCCCCAGCUUUAAGACAGAUGUCCUGGCUGGGGCUACUGAGAUCUUGAGAAUGGAGAAGAGAGAGUCAAACAGAGAGAACAAGAUGGAGGAAAAGCAAGGCAAAGAAAACAGGGCCGAUGAUGACUAAGUUCAGCAUGACUGGAACACUGAGCUAACAGAAAGGAGGGUAAGAAAGAAGUUAGAAAAGUAGUCAGGAGCACAAUUUUGCUAGCUUGGCCUGCCUCAUAAGGCUUCUUGAGUAUAAACUCUGUCCUCAAGCAAAGGGCAGUCUCUGAAGAGUUGGCUUCAGAGGGCAGCAGGUGACUAACUUGAUGCUUAGGAAAUCUGAACUGCGUCCUGAACUGGAGAGAUGGAUGAAAACCUCGAACGAAGUAAGCCAGCAGGAGUAUCAAGCUGAGUAGGGAAAUUUUUAGGGUCCAGUUUCUCUGGUGGGCAGGGGGCAUCCUGUAGUGGGGGUCUUACAAGUCCUGGGGAAGAGGGAACUCCUGGACUCACUUUCCAUUCUAGGAAAGCUUCCCUGUUCCUUUCUGGAAGACAAAUACUGAUCUGAGUGGCUUUCCUUUUUUAAAAGUUCAAAUGGAGUCAGGCAUAGCAAUUUCCUGAGAUUUCUAGGCUAACCUGGGCUACAGAAUGAGACCCUAUUUCAAAACAAUCAAAGAUCAAGUAUAUUUGUUAGGUUCUUUUUCCCCACUACAACCAGGGAUGCAGUUGAGGGCCAAACAUUUUUUAAAAAAUAAUAAUUAUGUUUGUAUUUUUAAAAAAAAAUUCUUAGCUGGGCAUGAUGGUACAUGCUUUUAAUCCCAAGCACUCAGGAGACAGAGGUUGGCAGAUCUCUAUGAGUUUGAGGCCAGCCUGGUCUACACAGUGAAUUCCAAGACAGCCAGAGCUAUAUAGUAAGACCCUACCUCAAAAUAAAAAAGUAAAAUAACUUAAAUUUUUUUUUCAAGACGGUUUCUGUGUAGUCCUGGCUGUCCAAGGACUCGCUCUGUCAACAAGACUAGUCUUGAACUCACAGAAAUCUGCUUGCCUCUACCUCCUGAGUGUUUGGGAUUAAAGGCAUGUGCCACCAUUGACUGGCUUAAAAAUUUUUUAAUUAAAAUAUAAUUACAUAACCUCCUCUGCCCAUUCCUUUUCUCCCUUCAACCUCUAUCCAUGUACCUGGCCUUGCUCUUUCUCAAAUUCAUGACUGUUUUUUAAUUGUUACACACACACAAACACCUAAGUAUAUAAAUACAACCUGCUCAGUCCAUGUUUCUUGUGUGUAUAUCACUCUAUACACUUAAGAUGGGCUCAACCUCUGGGCUUGGCUUUCCUUCUCACGCAAUUUACCAUUAAUCAGUAGUAAAUGGCAAAGCUUGAAAUUUGCCUGCCCUUUAAGUACAGAAGUUUUGAUGGGGUGUGAGCCUAAGCCACAUGCUUCAACUGUACUAGACAUCUCUGCAUGAAGCCAUCUAGCUAUUAAUAAAAUGAUUCUUAUUUCCUACUCAAUAAAUCUCACCUGAGGUUUCCUCUCAGAAGAGGUAACCCAGGUCUUUUUUGUUGUGUUUUUUUUUUUUGUUUUUUCAAGACAGGGUUUCUCUGUGUAGCCCUGGUUGUCCUAGAACUCACUCUGUAGAUCAGUCUGGCUUUGAACUCAGAGGUCUGCCUGAUUCUGCCUCCCGAGUACUGGGAUUAAAGACCUGUGCCACCAUGCCCAGCUAGGUACAAAUUUUUAUUUAUUUACUUAUGUAUGUGUGUGUGUGUGUGUGUGUGUGUAAGUAUUUGGGCAGGUGUGCCGCAGUGCAUGUGUGGAGUUCAGAGGACAAUUUUGUAGAGUCGAUUCUCUCCUUCAACCAUGUGGGUCGCAACACCAGGUUUGUGUGCUAAGAAGUGUUCUAGGAGCUAGAGAAACUGGUGAACAGAACAGACAAGCCUUCUGCUGCUUCCCAUUGGACUAAUGGGGAAAUAGCUUAUUAACCAAGUAAGCUAGAAAUACCACAUCAGGGGCUAGGAAGCAAAACCUAAACUACGAGAUAGAGGUGGGAUAGGUGCUCAAUCAGGUGGCCAGCUGAGAUGAAAAGGAGAUCAAAAGCAGCAGAUGUAGUCUGAUAAACAAUUAUAGUUAGGCCAGAGGUGGUGGUACAAGCCUAUAGACCCAGGGAAGGUUGAGGCAUGAGGAUCCUAAAUUCCAGACUAGUCUAAGCUGUAUACUGUUUUCUAGGAUAGCCUGGACUAUAUAAUGAGACUUUGCUUCAUAAAAAAAAAAAAAAAAUCCAGCUGGGUGUGGUGGUGGACACUUUUAAUAUCCCAGCACUUGGGAGGCAGAGGCCAGCUGAGCUCUGUGAUCUUGAGGCCAGCCUGGUCUACAGAGCGAGAUCCAGGACAGCCAGAACUGUUACACAGAAAAACCCUGUCUUGAACAGCACCGCAACACACACCAAAAAAAUCCAACCAGAUAGCAAAAACCUGAGGGCCUAAACUUUAUUAAGCUAUGUAACUCUGAAACAUUUCCAAGUACUCUUCAUUGCCAUUCAGAGAGACCUGAGAGGCAUCUAUGGCCUCAGUAUUCUGUUUAAACCAUUUAAAAACAUUUGUGAUGAUUAAAGAGACAUUUAGUGCAAAUAUCAGUUGCUGUACAAAUUUCUGGGGUACACGUGUGGGAAAUCUCAACUCCAAUAUAGUAAGUCCCAAUUUCACAAUGAAUCACAUUUUCUCUGAACACCUUGCAAAAGUCCUUACCGGUUUUAAAAAAAGAACACCAUCACAAUAGUGACCAGUGUAUGGGCAAUCAUACUGUAUCCUGAUGGCUAGGCAUCCCAAUAAAGGCCUGUGAGAGUGCAGGUACUAUCAUAGUUUACUAAACAGUAGUAGUUUGGGAGUUUUACAGAAGGCAAUUCAACUUUUUCUUCAACUGCCUAAUAACCGGCAUUAGACAGUACAUUGAUUACGUCUUAUGGGUCUGCAUUUCCCAUCUGGUACCAGGGAAUUAUUAAUUUCCAGUAAGAGGCCUUUGGAAAAAGUCAGCCUCCAAAUAAAGUAACAGCCAUGGCUUCUCUUCCGUUUAACAAAUUCCAGCCACCGUGAACCAA